AUUGAACGCUGGCGGCAGGCCUAACACAUGCAAGUCGAGCGGAUGAAGGGAGCUUGCUCCUGGGUUCCGCGGCGGACGGGUGAGUAAUGCCUAGGAAUCUGCCUGGUCGUGGGGGAUAACGUCCGGAAACGGGCGCUAAUACCGCAUACGUCCUGAGGGAGAAAGUGGGGGAUCUUCGGACCUCACGCUAUCAGAUGAGACUAGGUCGGAUUAGCUAGUUGGUGGGGUAAAGGCCUACCAAGGCGACGAUCCGUAGCUGAUCUGAGAGGCUGAUCAGUCACACUGGAACUGAGACACGGUCCAGACUCCUACGGGAGGCAGCAGUGGGGAAUAUUGGACAAUGGGCGAAAGCCUGAUCCAGCCAUGCCGCGUGUGUGAAGAAGGUCUUCGGAUUGUAAAGCACUUUAAGUUGGGAGGAAGAGCAGUAAGUUAAUACCUGGCUGUUUUGACGGUACCAAAAGAGUAAGCACCGGCUAACUUCGUG
rnacentral:rRNA from 1 species